CCUACGGGAGGCAGCAGUAGGGAAUCUUCCGCAAUGGACGAAAGUCUGACGGAGCGACGCCGCGUGAGUGAUGAAGGUUUUCGGAUCGUAAAACUCUGUUGUGAGGGAAGAACACGUACCAACUAACUAUUGGUACCUUGACGGUACCUCACCAGAAAGCCACGGCUAACUACGUGCCAGCAGCCGCGGUAAU
rnacentral:rRNA from 1 species